rnacentral:lncRNA from 1 species
GCAGCUGCAUACUUUUUUUUUCUUUUCUUUUCUUUUUUUUUUUUUUCCCUCAAAGAAUCUGAAGUACUGCUGUUGUGCAUACAGCACACACAGAAGUUUUUCCUGGCACCCCCUGCAAUCGCAGCAAGGCUCUUACCCUGUUUCCACGUUGCAACUUGCUGCUUCCAUCUGCAGAGCUCCUCGUUUUUCCAAGAGGAUCCCACAGCAGCUGUACAGACUCUGCUCCUCCAGGCUCCAUUUCAGGGCUGUGUCCUCAACGGGACGUGUCGGCACAGCUGAGGUGUCAUUGAGAAGCUGGAGCGGGCGAUGUGCUGCCAAACCUGAGGGAUGCUAACACUUCUGACAAGAUUAACAACUUGGGGAAAUUGGACUCCCUGCAUUGAUCAGCGGGCUGAUGGGAGAGCUGCCAUGGAAACCCGUAGACAUUUGAGCUGGAAGUGUAGGACUCCUACAGACCAAAGAGAAGCUGAAGACUGGAAGCAACCUGUCAGGAGUGAAAAGGGUUUUCUUGUAAAGCCGACAGGUAGAGGGGUCCCAUCAGCCUGAUUGCACCUUCAGAAAAAAACAUUAAUUAGCGCCUGUCAUCUGUGACAAUCACAGGUAAUUCCCACACUGACAGAUCUUUGCAUGUGACAAAUGGAUUCCCGUUAUUCCUUUGACAACUGGACCAUGAAAUCUAAUUUUACCAGGACAGUAAAUGGUAUCGCUGUUUAUGCCAGCUUUUGAAAUUCAUCAAAAUGAGCAGAAUGUUCCCACAGAUGGAGGAGGAAGAAGCUGCAAUGCAUGAGGAGCACAGGAGUCCUCCUCUCAAGACAAGGGGCAUCACUCUGACAAGUAGCAACUAGUAAUUACAAACAGCAAGUUGGUCUCAUUAGAUGAGGCUUGAGGUUGCAAUAAUAAAAAAAUAAAAUAAAAAACA